AUCUACGGCCAUACCACCCUGAACGCGCCGGAUCUCGCCUGAUCUCGGAAGCUAAGCAGGGUUGGGCCUGGUUAGUACUUGGAUGGGACACCGCCUGGUAAUACCGGCUGCUGUAGGCU
rnacentral:rRNA from 1 species